rnacentral:rRNA from 1 species
GACGAACGCUGGCGGCGUGCUUAACACAUGCAAGUCGAACGGAAAGGCCCUGCUUUUGUGGGGUGCUCGAGUGGCGAACGGGUGAGUAACACGUGAGUAACCUGCCCUUGACUUUGGGAUAACUUCAGGAAACUGGGGCUAAUACCGGAUAGGAGCUCCUGCUGCAUGGUGGGGGUUGGAAAGUUUCGGCGGUUGGGGAUGGACUCGCGGCUUAUCAGCUUGUUGGUGGGGUAGUGGCUUACCAAGGCUUUGACGGGUAGCCGGCCUGCGAGGGUGACCGGCCCCAUUGGGACUGAGAUGCGGCCCAGACUCCUACGGGAGGCAGCGGUGGGGAAUAUUGCACAAUGGGCGGAAGCCUGAUGCAGCAACGCCGCGUGCGGGAUGACGGCCUUCGGGUUGUAAACCGCUUUCGCCUGUGACGAAGCGUGAGUGACGGUAAUGGGUAAAGAAGCACCGGCUAACUACGU